ensembl:ncRNA R01B10.7 ncRNA
AGAGAUUAUGAGAUGAAUAGAGACGCGGAGAUGUGCACACAAACACUCACCGGAAGGCGAUGAAAUA